AAACAUCCACAGAUUUUGCAUCAUGAGCAGAAAAUGCUAAACCAGCUUCUCAGACUGAACUUUGGGGGGUGUGGCUGCAGGUUGCUGUGGAAACGCAUGUGUUUACGGGACCUGCUGGUGAGAUCCCUUCUUAAUGAAAAUAAUGUGUGGCCAGAACUGACUAAGGCACGAGAACAGGAUCCUAAUGCAUGGCCACAACUUAGUAAGGCACGAGAAUGAGGUAGUUAAGUUGUGGAAACAAGAUAAUUAGUUAAGUUAUGGCCAUGACUUAGUAAGGCAUGUGAGUGAGAAAGUUAAGUCAUGGGAACAAGAUAAUUCAUUUGUGAUAGUUACGUCAUGGCCAUGACUUAGCAAGGCAUGAGAAUGAGGUUGUUAAGUCGUGGGAACAAGAUAAUUCAGUAGUGAUACAUUAUGGCUAUGACUCAGUAAUGCGUAAGAAUGAGGUAGUUAAGUCAUGGGAACAAGAUAAUUAUGUAGUGAUGUUAUGGCCAUGACUUAGUAAGGCAUGAGAAUGAGAGAGUUAAGUUGUGGGAACAAGAUAAUUAAGCUGUGAAACGUCAUGGCCACGACUUAGUAAGGCGUGUAAAUGAGAUAGUUAAGUCAUGGAAACAACAUGAUUAAGUUGUGAAAGUUAACUUGUGGUCACGACUUAAUAAGGCAUGUGUGUGAGACAGUUAAGUUGUGGGAACAAGAUAAUCAACAAGUGAUCGUUAAGGCAUGGCCAUGACUUAGUAAGGUAUGGGAACAAGACAGUCAAAUCAUGGCCACCAGAUUAUUAAGUUGUGAUAGUCGUCAUGGCUACAACUUAGUAAAGUUAGUUAGUUAAGUUAGUUAAGUUAUGGCCACAAUUUAAUAAGGCAUAGAAACAUGAUAAUUAAGUUGUAGGAACCAGAUAACUAAGUUGAUAUUGUUAAGUCAUGGGAACGAGACAGUUAAGGUGUGAUAGUUAAGUCAUGGCCAUGACUUUGUAAGUUGUGGGAAUAAGAUAGUUGGCCACAACUCUAUACAGCAUAGGAACAUGAUAAGUAAGUCAUGGGACCAAGAUAAUUAAGUUGUGGCCACAACUUAGUAAAGCAUGGGGAUGAGAACAGUGGUCUUGAAUCGUACUGAGCUGUGAGCUGUUGAGGCUGGCCGAUAUCAUGCCUGUACAAAAAGCCACCUGUACUACAGUGUUGGUUUUAGUGUAUCCAGAGACCACAGCGUUCCACACAUCAGCAAACGGAUUCAGUUCUCGGGAAAAAACACUGUCUGUCUCAGCUGAACAACAGAACAUCAGGACAAACUGCCUCAGACAAAAACACCUCAGGCUAAGUGGCCUCAGACACCACAGCCUCAGGCCUGAAGUUCAUGUCCCAUUCGCAAUUCUGUUAUUUAUCGCUAGAUUCAUUCCAGUUUCAGGGUCAAAGAUUACAAUAAACUACAACCACAACUACUGAACUGCACUUUUAUUAUGUUCUACUAUUAGACAAAGAGAAAUCUUCAAUUCUUAAGCUGUUGCUGUGUUUACUGCGUCCACUUCAGGGUCAGGAACCGCCUCAAAAUGACUGGAAAAAAAAAUAUUGCUGUUAUUAGUAGAAGUGCUUUGUAUUACUGUUAUUGUUAUUAUUAUUUUUGUUAUUGUAUUAUUGUUAUUAUUAUUAUCAUCCACCGCCUUUCAGUCCAGGUUAGUGUUUAGCUGCAUGUUAAUGCAAUGCACACGUAUUCACAGGUCAAUGCGUGGGACGAAAUUAGUUUGUGUCAACAUUAAUCUGGGCUGGUAGACUGAGAAUAAAUGGUCAAAU